rnacentral:tRNA from 1 species
ACUGAUGUACACAAUGGGUAGAGUACCUGACUUAGAAUCAGGAAGAGUCCCUUUCCAAGUUCAAAUCUGGCCUCAGCU